UACGGAGGAUCCAAGCGUUAUCCGGAAUUACUGGGCGUAAAGAGUUGCGUAGGUGGCAUAGUAAGUUGAUGGUGAAAUCCUGGGGCUCAACCCCUUACCCAUUAUCAAAACUGCUGAGCUAGAGGACGAGAGAGGUACCUGGAAUUCCCAGUGUAGGAGUGAAAUCCGUAGAUAUUGGGAGGAACACCGAUGGCGUAAGCAGGGUACUGGCUCGUUCCUGACACUAAGGCACGAAAGCGUGGGGAGCAAACGGG
rnacentral:rRNA from 1 species